ACAGCAGUAGCCGCGGUAAUACAGAGGGUGCAAGCGUUAAUCGGAAUUACUGGGCGUAAAGCGCGCGUAGGUGGUUUGUUAAGUUGGAUGUGAAAGCCCCGGGCUCAACCUGGGAACUGCAUCCAAAACUGGCAAGCUAGAGUACGGUAGAGGGUGGUGGAAUUUCCUGUGUAGCGGUGAAAUGCGUAGAUAUAGGAAGGAACACCAGUGGCGAAGGCGACCACCUGGACUGAUACUGACACUGAGGUGCGAAAGCGUGGGGAGCAAACAGGAUUAGAUACCCGCGUAGUCCCUGUCUCUUAUAC
rnacentral:rRNA from 1 species